rnacentral:lncRNA from 1 species
UUUGCGCCUGUCCCAAGUCGGGAGCCUCUGGCCUUUGUUAGUCUUGUAUUAUUUUAAUUUUAGUUUCUUGUGUACAAUUUGGAAAUUAGUAUGGCGUUCAUUAUCACUGAACUAAUAUAUAUUUGUUUAGGGGCCAGCUGAAGGACGCCUCCGGGUGCGGGAAUUUUUCGCUACAUUGAAGACCUGUUGGUGACCUUCUGUUGUUGUUUUUUUCUAUGGUCGGGUUGUUGUCUCUUUGGCACAUUCCCCAUUUCCAUUCUCAAUUUUAUAU